rnacentral:rRNA from 1 species
UGCAACCUGAGCUCAGGCGUGAUUACCCGCUGAACUUAAGCAUAUCAUUUAGCGGAGGAAAAGAAACUAACAAGGAUUCCCUUAGUAACGGCGAGUGAACGGGGAGGAGCCCAGCGCUGAAUCUCUCGG